rnacentral:misc_RNA from 1 species
UUUCCGUAGGUGAACCUGCGGAAGGAUCAUUACUGUGGGCCUUCUUCGGAAGCCCGCAAGAUAGCACCCUUUGCCUUUUUGAGUACCUUUGUUUCCUCGGCAGGCUCGCCUGCCAAUGGGGACCACUUUAAAACCUCUUAUGUAUGCAGUAAACGUCCACAAAUAAAUGAAAUCAAAACUUUCAACAACGGAUCUCUUGGUUCUGGCAUCGAUGAAGAACGCAGC